rnacentral:rRNA from 1 species
CCUACGGGAGGCUGCAGUGGGGAAUAUUGCACAAUGGGGGAAACCCUGAUGCAGCGACGCCGCGUGAGUGAAGAAGGAUUUCGGUAUGUAAAGCUCGAACAGCAGGGAAGAAAAUGACGGUACCUGAGUAAGAAGCCCCGGAGAACUACGGGCCAGCAGCCGCGGGAAUACGGAGGGGGCAAGCGUUCUCCGGAUUUACUGGGUGUAAAGGGAGCGGAGACGGCAGCACAAGUCUGGAGAGAAAUGCCGGGGCUGAACCCCGGAACUGCUUUGGAAACUGUGCAGCUAGAGUGCAGUAGAGGUAAGUGGCAUUCCUUGUGUAGCGGUGACAUGCGUAGAUCUUAGGCGGACCACCAGUUGCGAAGGCGGCUUACUGGACUGUAACUGACGUUGAGGCUCG